rnacentral:rRNA from 1 species
UACGUAGGGGGCAAGCGUUGUCCGGAAUCAUUGGGCGUAAAGAGCGUGUAGGCGGCCCGAUAAGUCCGCCGUGAAAGUCCAGGGCUCAACCCUGGGAUGCCGGUGGAAACUGUCGGGCUAGAGUCCGGAAGAGGCGAGUGGAAUUCCUGGUGUAGCGGUGAAAUGCGCAGAUAUCAGGAGGAACACCAAUGGCGAAGGCAGCUCGCUGGGACGGUACUGACGCUGAGACGCGAAAGCGUGGGGGGCAAACAGG